rnacentral:rRNA from 1 species
ACCUACGGGGGGCAGCAGUGAGGAAUAUUGGUCAAUGGGAGAGAUCCUGAACCAGCCAAGUCGCGUGAGGGAAGACGGCCCUAUGGGUUGUAAACCUCUUUUGUCGGAGAACAAAACCCGGGACGUGUCCCGGACUGCGUGUAUCCGAAGAAAAAGCAUCGGCUAACUCCGUGCCAGCAGCCGCGGUAAUACGGAGGAUGCGAGCGUUAUCCGGAUUUAUUGGGUUUAAAGGGUGCGUAGGCGGUCCGUUAAGUCAGCGGUAAAAUUGCGGGGCUCAACCCCGUCGAGCCGUUGAAACUGGCAGA